rnacentral:rRNA from 1 species
UACCCGCAGCACAAGUGGUGGUCAUUAUUAUUGGGCCUAAAGCGUCCGUAGCUGGCCUGUUAGAUGCCUGGGUAAAUCGAUGCGCUCAACGUAUCGAACUCCGGGUAGACCGGCAGGCUUGGGACCGGGAGAGGCGUGAGCUACUCGGGGGGUAGGGGUAAAAUCCUGUAAUCCUCCGGGGAGGACCAGUGGCGAAGGCGUCACGCUAGAACGGCUCCGACAGUGAGGGACGAAGCCCAGGGGCGCAAACCGG